GACGAACGCUGGCGGCGUGCUUAACACAUGCAAGUCGAGCGGAAAGGCCCUUCGGGGUACUCGAGCGGCGAACGGGUGAGUAACACGUGAGUAACCUGCCCUUGGCUCUGGGAUAAGCCCGGGAAACUGGGUCUAAUACCGGAUAUGACUCCCUGCCGCAUGGUGGGGGGUGGAAAGUUUUUCGGCUGGGGAUGGACUCGCGGUCUAUCAGCUUGUUGGUGGGGUAAUGGCCUACCAAGGCGACGACGGAUAGCCGGCCUGAGAGGGUGACCGGCCACACUGGGACUGAGACACGGCCCAGACUCCUACGGGAGGCAGCAGUGGGGAAUAUUGCGCAAUGGGCGAAAGCCUGACGCAGCGACGCCGCGUGGGGGAUGAAGGCCUUCGGGUUGUAAACCUCUUUCACCACCGACGACGCUAACGUGACGG
rnacentral:rRNA from 1 species